rnacentral:misc_RNA from 1 species
GAAAUGCGAUAAGUAAUGUGAAUUGCAGAAUUCAGUGAAUCAUCGAAUCUUUGAACGCACCUUGCGCUCCUUGGUAUUCCUUGGAGCAUGCCUGUUUGAGUAUCAUGAAAUCUUCAAAGUAAAUCUUUUGUUAACUCAAUUGGUUUCUACUUUGGUAUUGGAGGUCUUUGCAGCUUCACACCUGCUCCUCUUUGUUCAUUAGCUGGAUCUCAGUGUUAUGCUUGGUUCCACUCGGCGUGAUAAGUUAUCUAUCGCUGAGGACACUGUAAAAGGUGGCCAAGGUAAAUGCAGAUGAACCGCUUCUAAUAGUCCAUUGACUUGGACAAUACUUUUAUGAUCUGAUCUCAAAUCAGGUAGGACUACCCGCUGAACGUAAGCAG